rnacentral:rRNA from 1 species
UACGUAGGAGGCGAGCGUUGUCCGGAUUUACUGGGCGUAAAGGGCGCGCAGGCGGCAUGUCAAGUACGAAGUGAAAUCUCCUUGCUCAACGAGGAGGGUGCUUUGUAAACUGGCAAGCUAGAGGACGGUAGAGGGGGGUAGAAUUGCUGGUGUAGCGGUGAAAUGCGUAGAGAUCAGCAGGAAUACCCGUGGCGAAGGCGGCCCCCUGGGCCGAACCUGACGCUGAGGCGCGAAGGCUAGGGGAGCGAACGGG